AGAGUUUGAUCCUGGCUCAGGACGAACGCUGGCGGCGUGCUUAACACAUGCAAGUCGAACGAGAAUCUGUGGAACGAGGAUUCGUCCAAGGGAAACAGAGGACAGUGGCGGACGGGUGAGUAACGCGUGAGGAACCUGCCUUUCAGAGGGGGACAACAGUUGGAAACGACUGCUAAUACCGCAUGACACAUAGGGGUCGCAUGGCCUUUAUGUCAAAGAUUUAUCGCUGAAAGAUGGCCUCGCGUCUGAUUAGCUAGUUGGUGAGGUAACGGCCCACCAAGGCGACGAUCAGUAGCCGGACUGAGAGGUUGAACGGCCACAUUGGGACUGAGAUACGGCCCAGACUCCUACGGGAGGCAGCAGUGGGGAAUAUUGGGCAAUGGGCGCAAGCCUGACCCAGCAACGCCGCGUGAAGGAAGAAGGCUUUCGGGUUGUAAACUUCUUUUGUCAGGGACGAGUAGAAGACGGUACCUGACGAAUAAGCCACGGCUAACUACGUGCCAGCAGCCGCGGUAAUACGUAGGUGGCAAGCGUUGUCCGGAUUUACUGGGUGUAAAGGGCGUGUAGCCGGGAGGGCAAGUCAGAUGUGAAAUCCACGGGCUCAACUCGUGAACUGCAUUUGAAACUACUCUUCUUGAGUAUCGGAAAAGCAAUCGGAAUUCCUAGUGUAGCGGUGAAAUGCGUAGAUAUUAGGGAGGAAACACCAGUGGGGAAGGCGGAUUGCUGGACGACAACUGACGGUGAGGCGCGAAAAGCGUGGGGAGCGAACAGGAUUAGAUACCCUGGUAGUCCACGCUGUAAACGAUGGAUACUAGGUGUGCGGGGACUGACCCCCUGCGUGCCGCAGUUAACACAAUAAGUAUCCCACCUGGGGAGUACGAUCGCAAGGUUGAAACUCAAAGGAAUUGACGGGGGCCCGCACAAGCGGUGGAUUAUGUGGUUUAAUUCGAAGCAACGCGAAGAACCUUACCAGGUCUUGACAUCCUGCUAACGAAGUAGAGAUACAUUAGGUGCCCUUCGGGGAAAGCAGAGACAGGUGGUGCAUGGUUGUCGUCAGCUCGUGUCGUGAGAUGUUGGGUUAAGUCCCGCAACGAGCGCAACCCCUAUUGUUAGUUGCUACGCAAGAGCACUCUAGCGAGACUGCCGUUGACAAAACGGAGGAAGGUGGGGACGACGUCAAAUCAUCAUGCCCCUUAUGACCUGGGCUACACACGUAAUACAAUGGCGGUCAACAAAGGGAUGCAAAGCCGCGAGGCAGAGCGAACCCCAAAAAGCCGUCCCAGUUCGGAUCGCAGGCUGCAACCCGCCUGCGUGAAGUCGGAAUCGCUAGUAAUCGUGGGUCAGCAUACCACGGUGAAUACGUUCCCGGGCCUUGUACUCACCGCCCGUCA
rnacentral:rRNA from 1 species